rnacentral:rRNA from 1 species
AGAGUUUGAUCAUGGCUCAGAACGAACGCUGGCGGCGUGGAUAAGACAUGCAAGUCGAGCGCUGAUUUCAGGGUAGCAAUAUUCUGAAGUCGGAGCGGCGCAAGGGUGCGUAACACGUGGGUAAUCUGCCAUGAAGUUCGGGAUAACUUGCUGAAAGGCGAGCUAAUACCGGAUGUGACAACCGGAAGACAUCUUCUGAUUGUUAAAGUUGGGGACCGUAAGGCCUGACGCUUCUUGAUGAACCCGCGGCCUAUCAGCUAGUUGGUGAGGUAACGGCCCACCAAGGCUAAGACGGGUAGCUGGUCUGAGAGGACGACCAGCCACACUGGAACUGAGACACGGUCCAGACACCUACGGGUGGCAGCAGUCGAGAAUUUUUCACAAUGGGCGCAAGCCUGAUGGAGCGACGCCGCGUGGGGGCUGAAUGGCUUCGGCCCGUAAACCCCUGUCAUUUGCGAUCAAACCUUAUUAUUUAAAAGAUGAUGAGCUGAUAGUAGCGAAAGAGGAAGGGACGGCUAACUCUGUGCCAGCAGCCGCGGUAAUACAGAGGUCCCAAGCGUUGUUCGGAUUCACUGGGCGUAAAGGGUGCGUAGGUGGUGAGGUAAGUCGGAUGUGAAAGCUCGGAGCUCAACUCCGAAAUGGCAUUGGAAACUACCUUGCUCGAGGGUUGGAGGGGGGACUGGAAUACUUGGUGUAGCAGUGAAAUGCGUAGAUAUCAAGUGGAACACCAGUGGCGAAGGCGAGUCCCUGGACAACUCCUGACACUGAGGCACGAAAGCUAGGGGAGCAAACAGGAUUAGAUACCCUAGUAGUCC